UCUGAUUGGCUCCGGGCUUUGUUUGCGCAGGAUAGGUGGGAGGCGAUGAAAAUUUUCUUGCGGGAAGAUUGGAGCCGUUGGUGAGAUACCACUCUAACAAUGCUAGGAUUCUAACCCUACACCGUUAUCCGGUUAGGGGACAGUUUCAGGUGGUCAGUUUGACUGGGGCGGUCGCCUCCCAAAAGGUAACGGAGGCGUGCAAAGGUUUCCUCAGGCUGGUCGGAAAUCAGUCGUAGAGUGUAAAGGCAUAAGGAAGCUUGAUUGUGAGACCUACAAGUCGAACAAAGACGAAAGUCGGCCUUAGUGAUCCGACGGUUCCGAGUGGAAGGGCCGUCGCUCAACGGAUAAAAGUUACUCUAGGGAUAACAGGCUGAA
rnacentral:rRNA from 1 species